rnacentral:rRNA from 1 species
AUACAGAGGGUGCGAGCGUUAAUCGGAUUUACUGGGCGUAAAGCGCGCGUAGGUGGUUAAUUAAGUCAAAUGUGAAAUCCCCGAGCUUAACUUGGGAAUUGCAUUCGAUACUGGUUAGCUAGAGUAUGGGAGAGGAUGGUAGAAUUCCAGGUGUAGCGGUGAAAUGCGUAGAGAUCUGGAGGAAUACCGAUGGCGAAGGCAGCCAUCUGGCCUAAUACUGACACUGAGGUGCGAAAGCAUGGGGAGCAAACAGGAUUAGAUCCCCUGGUAGUCCAUGCCGUAAACGAUGUCUACUAGCCGUUGGGGGAUUUGAUCCUUUAGUGGCGCAGCUAACGCGAUAAGUAGACCGCCUGGGGAGUACGGUCGCAAGACUAAAACUCAAAUGAAUUGACGGGG